CAUGGGGGCAACCCUGNAUGCAGCAACGCCGCGCUGAAGGGAUGACNGGUUUUCNCGNAUUGGUAAACUUCUUUUCUUAGUGACGCAAGACAGGUGGACGGGUAUUCUNAGGUAAUAANCAUCNGCUAACUACNAUGCCAGCCAGCCGCGGUAAUACNUAUGGNGCNAGCGUUAUCCNGAUUUACUGGGUGUAAAGGGAGCNUAUACGGAGCGGCAAGUCUGAUGUGAAAACCCGGGGCUCAACCCCGGGACUGCAUUGNAAACUGUCAAUCUANAGUACCGGAGAGGUAAACNGANUUCCUANUGUAGCGGUGAAAUGCNUAGAUAUUAUGAGGAACACCANUGGCGAAGGCGGCUUACUGGACGGUAACUGACGUUGAGGCUCGAAAGCGUGGGGAGCAAACAGGAUUAGAUACCCUGGUAGUCCAAGGGCGAAUUC
rnacentral:rRNA from 1 species